CUGGCCCAACCUGAACUGUUUGUCUCCAUGGCAAAAUACAGGACAGCAGAAGCUUUUUUUAUGACGUUUCUCGUUUUGAUCACAUUUUCAAUAUCACAGAACCAAGUGCCUCCUGUAGUGGACAGAAGUUCACAUGUAGAAGAAAUCAUUAAUGAGAAUGGCAAAACAAGAAACUGGUCUUACAGUGGCUCACUACUAGAAAGCGUUUUCAUCCGUACAACUGCGCUUCACAAGAGCAAGCCACAG